rnacentral:rRNA from 1 species
UACAGAGGUCCCGAGCGUUGUUCGGAUUCACUGGGCGUAAAGGGUGCGUAGGUGGUGAGGUAAGUCGGAUGUGAAAUCUCCGGGCUCAACCCGGAAGUGGCAUUGGAAACUACCUUGCUAGAGGAUUUGAGGGGGGAUUGGAAUACUUGGUGUAGCAGUGAAAUGCGUAGAUAUCAAGUGGAACACCAGUGGCGAAGGCGAAUCCCUGGAAAAUACCUGACACUGAGGCACGAAAGCUAGGGGAGCAAACAGG